ACCAUCAAGUUUGAUGUUUAUGGCGUCGAUAUUCGACGUCAUCAACAUCAUCAAGUUUGGUGUUUAUGACGUCGAUAUUCAACGUCAUAAACACCAUCAAGUUCGGUGUUUAUGACGUCGAUAUACGACGUCAUAAACAACAAUAAAUUUGGUGUUGAUGACGUCGUUGUUGGACGUCAUAAACACCAUCAAGUUUGAAGUU
rnacentral:miRNA from 1 species